rnacentral:misc_RNA from 1 species
GCAGCCCAGCGAUGCAUGGAAGGUUUGUGCUGGGGGUGAGAGUAAAGAAGUCGAUGUUCAGAAUAAGAGAAUCCGUCGAGAGAGGGAAAUCAUUUACAGGACAGUUCAGGAAAUUCCAUUGAAUCCUAAGGAGCCUUGGGACCGUGAAAUGGACCCUGAUGACACAUUAACCACAGAACUUCCGCUUGAGCAAUUACCAGAUGCAGAAGGUGAAACAGAUGUUUUGCCGCAGGAGGACAGAGA